rnacentral:lncRNA from 1 species
UUAAACAUCUAAAGUCAAGUUUAUAUUUAGAAGGAUGAGUGUCGUGUCGUGGAGACUGGCAACCUACCUACCUAACGACCCCUUUUAUUGAUGCAUCUCUCUCUGGGUGUGACUUCCCCCCUCCCAAUAACUAUUAGUAUUGGGAUUGUUUUUAAAUAUUAUUAUUUUGUCCUUGAAUGACGACGAUGGUACAAAAGGAGUACACGCUCACGACCUUUUAUGUUGAUGAACAAGAGGGACUCUUCUCGCAGUACGGAAGUAUAUUUGAAUAAAACAAGUCACUACCGUUAUCUUAAAAAAACCUUCUGAAGGAAACAUAAUAUUGAUAUUUUUUGGGAUUGGAACGUGGAGUUUAAUGUUUGAUGUACAUUACGUCAUGGGGUGUUACAUAAUUGCAAUCAACAUUUUUAAUAGUGGUUGGUUGGAGUGCUAUGCAUUGCAAGGCAGGGGAGUUUGUCUAAACAUAUAUAUAUGAUGUCGUGUAUAAGUUGCCAUUUUGUACAAGUGGCAAAGAAGAAAUGGGUUGAACAAUACUUAAUGAUUAUUAAUAUUUAUUAAUAAUCAUAACUUCAUUUAUUCAGUAUUUUUAGUACAUUUAUUUUAUUUUACGAUAUAAGAGGCCUAAAUUAUUGUAUUUAUUAAUUCAAUAUAUAUACAUAUACAUUUCUAUCCCCAUAUUGGAUUAUGUAAAAAUACGUAGAGAUAUUAUAAAUCAACCUAAUUACGUAAAUACAUGAUCAAUUACUUGAGUGGAACACACUUGAACACCUUUUUGAUAUUAUUAUUUCAAUGGUGUACUACUAAUAUAAGUAAUAUUCUACAUAUGUGAUUAUGUUAUAACACAUAUUUAUUUUAUUAUUUUGAGGCAUAUCAAUGACGUAAAUAAUGUACAGAAAAUAAUAUCUUAUUAUUAUUAUUUUUCUAUUUUUAUUUACCUAUUUCUAAGCAUGUAUCGAUCCCAAAAAUUUAGCGUUCCAUCCUCAAUUUAAAAGACGGUUAUAAAUCUUUUUUUUUAAUAAAUCACAACAUAACUCCUUGUAACUCCAUGACUUAAGCAAGCCACACUUUGAAAUCUUAAAAAAAUAUUUAUAAGUGUUAUAUUUUUAGAUAGUUCAAAUUUCAAAAAAAUAAGGAAAUGGUGAACUCUUUUUUUUUUUUCUUCAUAAAUCUAAAUAAGUUUUGUUUAGCUAACUAAUAGUUUUUCAAUAAUGUAUUUUACUUGUCUAUCAUUGCUUUGGUUUACGAUAUAUCACUACAUGCCGUCUAGUCCCAUCCUAACUUUUAAGGACGCGUCCGCCUUUGUGCUUGUCAAUUUGAGACUUUUUACAAGGACUGCAUACAGAGACGAGACUGGAGGGAUUUUAUGUUCCAUAUUAAGGAUCGAUACAGCCCGAAUAUAUAAUAAAUAGUCAUGGCCAACUGUUGCUAUACAAAUAUGCAGAAAUUUCUAUUUUAAAAAUAUACUUUUCUGACGAUUACACACAGAGAGAGAGAAGCACUUUUCCAAGUUGUAAAGUAAGUUCAUGUCACUGAACUUCCCUCUGCUUCUAUUAAAUAUAUGAUAUAGUAAGAGGGGCCUUUUUCUUGUCUUCUUUUUAUCGUCUCUUUUUCUUCUUUUUAUCGAAGAAAAAGAGAGGAUUUUGCUUUUACUUACUUAUUGUUAUUUUCACCCUUUUCUCUCCUUUUCUCUUUGUGAGGGCCCCUCCCUGCUGCUAUAUGUAGUUUAUUUUUUGUUGCUAAAAUGAAAUAAAUUUGGCAUGAAUCCCUGGUAACAGCUCCCAUCUCUGAGAUGUCUAGUGGUGUUUUUUUUUUUUCUAUUUUUGGAUAGAAAAAUACGUCUAAUUUCUAUCAUAAAGAAGGGAGGAGCAGCAGAUGACUUACUGAAUAUUUCAACCAUCCAAUUGCAUUACAGAUGUCUUGAAAUUUCACUUUUUUCUCCGGGAUGUUCAAGAAGAAUAUGUUUUAUGUAGAUAUUAGUGUUUGGUAGUGUUGUGUCGAACCUUAUUUAAGACUGAAGACAGUAGUCUCGUGCACUUCAAUUAAGGUCUGGUCCUGUUCGGUCCUAAAAAAUUAUAAAGUUUAGUCUUUGAUGACGUCACUCAACUUUAUUUCUUCGUGUUUCAAUCAGUUCUACUACUGAUAGUCCAAACGACCGAUGGUCUUAAGAUUGGACUUGUCUGAAUCCAACAAAUAAGGACUGACACAAGAAUAGUUUUGCGAUUCGGUCUGAAAAUCCUAGAGCGGUUUGAGACCGUCAUCAUUUUUAAUGGACCGAACUAAUUUUUUCUACUCAAGAAAAUAAAAAAAAUCGCAUCUCACUUCAAAUUUGGUCUAGAUCCAACCUUUGAAUUUACUUGACUGCAUUGGCACUUGAAAUAUUACAAUGAGCCACUGAACCUAUGACAUUAAAUUUUUUUAAAUGGCUAAAAAUAGAAAAACUAUUAAAUACAAUUUUAUUUUAUCUUUAUGCCAUAUAUAUAAUAAGGCCGGAUCUAAUUUUUCAAGGCAAAAUUGGAUCAAAAAGGCCAAUCUGGCAAGCCUGUUUGUUAGAGUCUCAGAAAAUACGAGGGGACGUCAAAUAUUUUCCAUGUUUUUGUACAUAUUAUGCUCGUUCUACAUGUUUUGAUUAUAUUGUGACAAUUUUGCUAAACUAUAUUAUUUGAGGUGAGAGUGAGUAUUGGGCCGCACCUAAAAAUUAGGCCCUGGUCUAGACUAUGGAUGAAAUCUGUAUGACGUGUCUUAUAAAGUUGUAUAUUUGUACAUCUCAUGAAUCUGGAUAUACAAAAAAAUAUCGUUUCAAAUUGCUCUAGAAAAAAUCAUUUAAGACCGAAUUGAAAUAUAUAUAUAUAUAUUUCGGUCUUGGAUCGAGUCUCAACACAAGUAGCAAUGUAUGUUGCUUGUAGUAUGAAAUAUGAAUAUUCACACAAUCUGUGCCUAUAUACGAGUAUAUAUAUACAUUCUACAAUGCUCAUACCAUAUACAUAUAUUUCUUAUGUAUGUAGUAGCUAAAAAACAAAGCAGCUAUAAGUAUGUAUUUUCUCUUCCUUGGGCUUAUAUUUCAACUUGUACGAAUUUGAUAAGAAGUAUGUAGAUCCCUAUUUUGUAAAUGUAAUAAUAGGAAAAUACCCAUUCAAAUUAUGAAUGUAUAAUGUCCCGGAAAUACAAAAUAGUUUGGUGAACACUUAAGUCUUUCUAAAACUCACCAGAGCCAUUUAAAAGAUUUUAGGUAAUUUUUAGUACGAGGUUGCGAGAGUAAAUUGAUUUUAGAAGUACCUCGAACAAUAUUUCACUAUGUUGAUGGGUAAGUACAAUGGUCACAGUCCCAAAUAACCAAUGAUAGCUGAAAAUUAACGUCACUAUUUCAAUUUAAUUUGAACCAUACAAAAUGCCUGAAAGAUUUUAAAAGUUUAUGACUUAAUUUGUGAUAAUAAUGUGUGAAUUAUCGAUUUGCUUUGUUUUCUGUUUGUUAUUGUUCUGUAAAGGAAAUUUGUUCGGGGCGUAUCUAAAAUCAAUAUAUUCUCGCAACUUCAUGAAACAUGAAAGUUUUUUAAAAUUUCGUUGGUGAGUUUUGGAUAGCCGAAACUAUUUUACUUCGUAAUCCUGUGGGAUAUGCUUGAUUCAAUACUUGAAAUGUGCAUCUUCAUACUAUUUCAUUUUUAAAAUAGUGACCACUCUAAUGUAGAUAUAUGUAUUUUAAAAGAGUAAUUUCGCUCCUAAAAACGAGGUCUUUCUUCUCUUUUUCUACUCUCAACAAUCUUUAUUUAUAUUUUUUUUCCAUUUGUCUGAUUUGAAA